AUGCCGCGUGCCGUCGACCUGGUUAGUACCUGCUGCCGUGUCGACCUGGUUAGCCGCAUGACCCGCUGCAGCACCGGGUACGGCGCCUCCAUGGCCUACACCUGUUUCACCAUCAGCCCCUAUGUCCUCGUCCAGGUCAAGGAUCUUGGCGCCGCAACCGAAUCUCCGCCGCCGAAGGAUGUACGAGGGCGUACGCACUCGAAACUUGACUGCACGAGCACGAUGAGGGCCUCCAGAACCAGAUCCUCCGCGGUCGCGUGUAGCGCCGCCGGCCAUCGCGGCCAUCGUCGGCUUCCGCUCCACCGCCUGCUCCGCCGCCCGCUCCACUGCCGCCAUGGCUCCAGUGAGGCACACACCGUACUAGGAGUUUAUAUAGACUGGCCGCCAUUACUCUCUCGAUGA
rnacentral:rRNA from 1 species